UACGAAGGGGGCUAGCGUUGCUCGGAAUCACUGGGCGUAAAGGGUGCGUAGGCGGGUCUUUAAGUCAGGGGUGAAAUCCUGGAGCUCAACUCCAGAACUGCCUUUGAUACUGAGGAUCUUGAGUUCGGGAGAGGUGAGUGGAACUGCGAGUGUAGAGGUGAAAUUCGUAGAUAUUCGCAAGAACACCAGUGGCGAAGGGCGGCUCACUG
rnacentral:rRNA from 1 species